UCAAAAUUGGUCUCUCCACAUUAGCCGAACAAAAGAAAGUUUUGUGUCUUUUGGGAGAUUCAUUGACAUUUCAUCGAAAAUUAUUUGUUAAAUAAUUUAAAAUUAUCUAUGAAGAUCAUGGCCGUUUCGUGAUCUUACGAACUAUCAGGCGGUAGCCAGUACUUUGUUAGAAUAGCCGAUUUUACAUAGCUAACUAGAUGUGGCUAUUUCGCAUACACGAAGUUAGCUAGUCUAAGCAGCCAAAAUAGAGUGAUCAAUCUUUGCAGUAAAUUGUGCUCGAUAGCUAAUUUGCAGAUGUUCAUGAUGAGCAGCCUAGCUUAGCUAACACAUCAAACUAACGUUAGUUAGCUAGACUACACAUUAUCGCAGUAAGGGCUUGCAAACUAACCUUGCCUUACUGUAUAGAACAACCAAGUUAUUAAGCUGCAUAUAAACAAUGUAACGCCGGUCAUAUGCAAUCUACCAACACUUGUAGCUUGCAAGCUAAUUAGCCGCUAACUUUUUCAAUCUUUGAAUGUCCCAACUUGCCAAAGUCAGCUAACAAUGCUAACUAUUGUAAAGUAAGCUAGCCCUUUCAAGUAAAAUAGCUUCCAUGUUAGCAACCAUUUAGACGUUUUAAUAUUUGAGAAAGUGUAAAAAACUGGUGGUUGUGGCUAAUUUCUUUGUCAGUGCCAUUGUCGAAGCACUGUUGGUAGCUAGCUAACUGCUGUCUUGAGUUUAGCUGGACGACCUUGGAUUUUAAAUAUAAAGCGGUAGUACUAACCAGUGUGAUGUGGUCAACCCAACAAAUUAUUAACCAAGGAAAAUGAUAUUAUGCGUUAAAAUAGUCAUAUUUGUUAUUAUACAAAACAAUUAUCGCUAAUUUGUCCACAUUUCAGCGUUCUGUUUGCUACAGAGGCGUUUCAGCUACGCUAAUUUACAUGUAAAGAUUAGUUUGCAUAAGAUAAUAGCCUAUGCUAUUAGCAAACCGUUAAAUUGUCCAUCGCGUACAAGUGACUUGACAUUGUAACCUGGCUAACACUAACUUGGACAAGUGUGUUCGGUUACCGCAUGGGGAAGAUAUCGAGGUAUUUAUUGCGGAAACCAGCGUGGGCCCGCAGAACUGUCAUUAGGCUGCCAUGGGUUAGCUCGUGCUAAGCUCCUAAAUUAAGUUGUUUGAUUAACAUACUCUGAGUUUCAUAUAUUGCUAUAGUGGUAACGUUGUCUCUUGUGCUUGCUAAUCCAAAAUAAAUGUCAUGUGCUUUUUGCACUGAUUGGCAAAAAAGUUCUGCAGACCUGGUUUCCAAGGCCUACAUUGGCAGCUGACUGAAACGAAACCACAAAAACCUGCAGACGCUACAGUCCACCGGGACUGGAGUUUGAACUUCUGAUCCCGCGGAACUGCGUGCAGUCUAAACAAGGAAAGAAACGCAUGCCUCCGAUAGAAGAGCACUGAAUGGUCUGGCAAAUCUGAUACAGUAAGGACGUGGUUUGAAGGAAUUAAUUAUUUUUCUGAAAUACAGAGGCAUGAUUAAUGCAGUUUUUAUAUACUUGGCCAGCAUGACAAGUUUAUAUUCAGUUUCUGCUGUUAUUAUCUUUUUACUGUGCAUUUUUUUCUUGAUGUCACACAAUAGUCGGUCAUCAAAGCAUCUAAAAUGGACACCACCAGAAGGAACAAACGGGUGCCUUUGGAGUUCCAAGUCCAACCAUCGUCACUGAGAAUUGGGGACUGAGCCUUGAGAAAUGUGACGGGCCUCCUUCAGGACACACAGGCUAUAAUUUCUGAAUAAAAAAUAGGAUGCUUCUGUUAUAUUAAUAAUAAUAAUAAUAAUAAUGUACUCCAGAAGGCUUCUACUAUAGCCUCUGCCUCAUGCUUUCUCUAGAACAGGGGUGUCCAAUCAGAGAGUACCUUGGUAAAUAAAAACAACUAUGCUAAUGUUGAUUGGUGGAUGCAUUCUGGCUUUUCUGGAAUCCUUUGUGCUAUUUAGGCAUUGCCAGAAGGUAUCCACCGGUUACCAUUGGCAUUGUUCUGUUUGCUUCUACCAACAUACUCUGUGAUUGGCGAAGAGCCCCUCUGUGUAUUCUGAGUAAAAUGUGACAACUCAUCAGUCCUGUCCCUAUUUUAUUAUACCUGUCAAUUACCAGGCAAUUUUGAUUUCCAAUGCUGACACCUAUCAAUAUAUUUCAGAUUGUGGAGUUGAUAUUUGCUACAAUGGAAGUUUUAGGACAGUAUAGCCAUAUACAAAGCCUGGCUUCACUGCCUCACCUUCACCGUCUGUGUUCUGUUCUGACUCAGAAUGGCCGUUUGAUUCUCAGCCAAUGGGAGGCUCCUCUACUGUGACCUCAGAACAGUUUCAUGACAUCGCACACACCCUCACUAGCCACAAGCAUUUCUGAAUAGACAGACGUAUUCUUCAGAAUUAAUGGAAUUCCUUCCCAAUGUGCCAAACCUUGCCCAUUAAGUAUGAUUUGGAUGACCUGGCCUUUUAUGUUUGGCAUGUGAUAAUCUUCAUUUUAUGAGCACAGAAUCUAGCUCAUGCAUUACAUCUUCCCAGGCUUGCCAGUAGAGGACACAAUUUGCCUAAAAAAAAGGUAAACCUUCAUUUCUUUGAAAUGAAAAUCCAAACAUAACAAUUAUACUGACUCACAGGAGUGAAAGGUAAAAACCACAAUUCGAAAAAAAAGGCUCAAAUAUCUCUUAGUUUAUAUUUUAAUAUAGACAAAAGCCCUGAUAAAUAUCUAGCAGGUUAUUCAAAUAGUUGUUUCAUGAGAGCAAGCAAUUGCUUGAUUGAUUUGCUUGAGUGGAACUCUGGACAGUGGCUUCUCCUGGUUUAACCCAACAAGAUGAAAUUAGCACAAACUCCAUAAACUGUGCCAUAAGGAACCACAGGGAGAUGUGCUGUGUGUCAUGAAGAACCACAGGGAGAUGUGCUGUGUGUUGAAGAACAGCAGGAGAUGCAUUGUGUCAUAAAGAACAGCAGGGAGAUGUGCUGUGUGUCAUAAAGAACAGCAGGGAGUUGUGCUGUGUGUCAUAAAGAACAGCAGUGAGAUGUACUGUGUGUCAUAAAGAACAGCAGGGAGUUGUGCUGUGUGGCAUAAAGAACAGCAGGGAGAUGUGCUGUGUCAUAAAGAAUGAACGGGAGAUGUGUAGUGUGUCAUACAGAACUGCAGGGAGAUAAGUGCUGUGUUCAUAAAGAACAGCAGGGAGAUAUGCUGUAUGUUGGAGAGUCAGAUGAUUUCUGUAUCCAGUGAAGAGACCGGUGUGCAUCUGCCCUGCUCCUCAGAGGUCCCUGGAGAUCACCAUGCAAUCCUGAUGAAAGCGCAACACAAACACGCGAUGGAUUACAUGUCCAAUCAACCUGUGUCUCCCUCCUUUUACCAGUCUUUCAUUUUAGUAGCAUCUCACAAAGCCAUGCACAUCGGCGCCAAUAGGGAUACCAGUGUUACGCUAACCCCGAUCCAGACGCUGUAUUUUAGCACCAAAUCACAGGUGACGUAUCACCUGCCUGUCCAGGGUGUAGGCGUGACCGGGUUCUCAUAUCAAACCCCAUUUCUCUGUACCCCCGCAUGUGGUCACCGUCUGUUCGCAGGUGGAUUCUGACGUACCCAAAGCCAGACUAUUUCUCCUAGCUGUCUCCAAACUACAUUUGUCCUAGCUGUUAUGUUCAGUGCCUCUGACCGGACCUGAUGAUAAUUUCUUUCGAUUUGUCAGAAAGCGGCUUUGUUGUUCAGCUCACAUGGAACAUAAUCUUGUUCAGGCACUCGUGCCACGGUUCAGUGAUCCUGUUCAGUUACCAGUGCGCACCCCAAUCUUCACAAAUAGAUUAAAUUAAAAGCAAGUCCGACUGCUCUGCGGCAGUCGUGUUCACUGGUUAACACAAUGCUGGCUGGGGUUCAGUCAACGUUCGUGCUCAACUUUGUGUCACAAUUAAAAGCACAAUUCAUCGAUCGCUACAACUAAUCCGCCAAACUGAGCUCUCUAGAUAUUAUAUGAACAGUUUUAAUCAUUUUGUUUUUAAUCUUAAUGUCUAUUACAGUAAAUGUACUAUAUGAAGUAUUCUUUUAAAGAAAAAUAUUUGAAUAAUUUUUAUCCAACACAAAUUCACAGAUAUUUUUCCACUAUGACUUGUUCUUCGUUGCUGGUAAAUGAAAGUAAAAUAACAAAUGACGAGGGUGAGAAUAUCUAUUUUAGUCAUGACUGAACCAGGGCCCCUGGCACAACUCUACGUGUCAAUGUUCAGGUUUUAUGAAGGUCCUUGAACCCCUCUGCAGAUAAUUAUGCAUUCUUACUGGUUAAUAUUUCAUCUCGAAACAUACAGUGUAAAAUUAUGUUAAAGCAACUUUGGUAAAGAAAAAAAACUCUGCCUGCCUGUGUGUAUAUGCUGAGUAUACAUCAAAUAAAAUGGUCUUUAAAUAUA